UACGUAGGGGGCAAGCGUUGUCCGGAUUUAUUGGGCGUAAAGAGCGUGUAGGCGGUUUGGUAGGUCCGCUGUGAAAACUCGAGGCUCAACCUCGAGACGCCGGUGGAAACCAUCAGACUAGAGUCCGGAAGAGGAGAGUGGAAUUCCUGGUGUAGCGGUGAAAUGCGCAGAUAUCAGGAGGAACACCGGUGGCGAAGGCGGCUCUCUGGGACGGUACUGACGCUGAGACGCGAAAGCGUGGGGAGCGAACAGG
rnacentral:rRNA from 1 species